GCAUCGGUGAUUCAGUGGUAGAAUGCUCGCCUGCCACGUGGGCGGCCCGGGUUCGAUGCCCGGCCGAUGCA
rfam:Heligmosomoides polygyrus genome assembly, scaffold: HPBE_scaffold0001726